rnacentral:rRNA from 1 species
UACAGAGGUCUCAAGCGUUGUUCGGAUUCAUUGGGCGUAAAGGGUGCGUAGGCGGCGCGGUAAGUCGGACGUGAAAUCCCUCGGCUUAACCGAGGAACUGCGUCCGAUACUGAAAGGCUUGAAUCCGGGAGAGGGAUGUGGAAUUCCAGGUGUAGCGGUGAAAUGCGUAGAUAUCUGGAGGAACACCGGUGGCGAAGGCGGCAUCCUGGACCGGCAUUGACGCUGAGGCGCGAAAGCUAGGGGAGCAAACGGG